GAAUCACUGGGCGUAAAGGGCGCGUAGGUGGUUUGAUAAGGGUGUGGUGAAAGUCCGGGGCUCAACCCCGGAUCUGCCGUGCCGACUGUCAAACUCGAGGACUGUAGAGGCAGACGGAAUUCCGGGUGUAGCGGUGGAAUGCGCAGAGAUCCGGAGGAAGACCGGUGGCGAAGGCGGUCUGCUGGGCAGUUUCUGACACUGAGGCGCGACAGCGUGGGGAGCAAACAGGAUUAGAUACCCUGGUAGUCCACGCCGUAAACGAUGGGUACUAGGUGCCUGGGGGAGCGACCCUCUGGGUGCCGGCGCUAACGCAGGAAGUACCCCGCCUGGGGAGUACGACCGCAAGGUUGAAACUCAAAGGAAUUGACGGGGGCCCGCACAAGCGGUGGAGCAUGUGGUUUAAUUCGACGCAACGCGAAGAACCUUACCUAGGCUUGACAUGCAGGAGCAAGCUCUCAGAAACGAGAGCCCCUCUUCGGAGAUCCUGCACAGGUGCUGCAUGGCU
rnacentral:rRNA from 1 species